rnacentral:tmRNA from 1 species
GGGGGCGAUCCGGUUUCGAUCGGGCAACCAGAGGCGUUCGGCGGCGUGCCGUGGUUGAUCGGUUGGCCACGUAAAUAGCCGAUCACAACCAAACUGCUGAACCGCAGUUUUCAAUGGCUGCCUAACCAAGGCAACCCUGAUUCGGCUUCUUUAGCCUGAGAAGCUGUCGAUUCAGUCGCUAAAUCAGGAUCGCGGAAGCUCGGGUCCGUCGCGAGGCGGGCCGACGUCGGAGGCGGCUUCUGUCAGACUUCACUGCCGAUUAGCCUCGAAGGCGCCCUGCUGGUUGGGAACCGAGAGGCGAACGCGACGGGUUCGGCCCGUUAAAGUCGACCAGAUACGCACGUAGAUGCCGUCGUUUCCUUGCGCGAGACCCGGGUUCAAUUCCCGGCGCCUCCACUU